rnacentral:rRNA from 1 species
GACGAACGCUGGCGGCGUGCCUAAUACAUGCAAGUCGAGCGAACGGACGAGAAUCUUGCGGCUCUGAUGUUAGCGGCGGGCGGGUGAGUAACACGUGGAUAACCCACCUAUAAGACUGGGAUCACUUCGGGAAAGCGGAGCUAAUACCGGAUGAUAUUUUGAACCGCAUGGUUCGAAAGUGAAUUACGGUCUUGCUGUCACGUAUAGCUGGAUCCGCGCUGCAUUAGCUAGUUGGUAAGGUAACGGCUUACGAAGGCAACGAUGCAUGGCCGACCUGAGAGGGGGAUCGGCCACACUGGAGGUGGGCCACGGUCCAGGGUCCUACGGGAGGCAGCAGUAGCGAAGGUUCGGCAAUGGGGGGAAGCCUGCCGGAGCGGCGCAGGGUGAGUGAUGCAGGUCCUCGGAUCGUAAAACUGUGUUAUGAGGGAAAAACCUAUGUGUAAGUAACUGUGCACUUCUUGACGGUACCUAGUCAGAAAGCACCGGCUAACUACGUG